AUUGAACGCUGGCGGCAGGCCUAACACAUGCAAGUCGAGCGAGUGGAGGACGGGUGAGUAAUGUAUGGGGAACUGCCCGAUUGAGGGGGCUAACUACUGGAAACGGUGGCUAAUACCGCAUACCAUCGGAUGUACCCAUAUGGGAUUAGCUAGUAGGUGGGGUAACGGCUCACCUAGGCGAAGAUCCCUAGCUGGUCUGAGAGGAUGAUCUGCCACAAUGGAACUGAGACACGGCCCAGACUCCUACGGGAGGCAUCAGUGGGGAAUAUUGCACAAUGGGCGCAAGCCUGAUGCAGCCAGGCCGAGUGUAUGAAGAAGGCCUUAGGGUUGUAAAGUACUUUCAGCGGGGAGGCGUUACCCGCAGAAGAAGCACCGGCUAACUCCGUGCCAGCAGCCGCGGUAAUAC
rnacentral:rRNA from 1 species